rnacentral:rRNA from 1 species
AGUGAACGCUGGCGGUAGGCCUAACACAUGCAAGUCGAACGGCAGCACACUAAGAGCUUGCUCUUACGGGUGGCGAGUGGCGGACGGGUGAGGAAUACAUCGGAAUCUACUUUUUCGUGGGGGAUAACGUAGGGAAACUUACGCUCAUACCGCAUACGACCUACGGGUGAAAGCAGGGGAUCUUCUGACCUUGCGCGAUUGAAUGAGCCGAUGUCGGAUUAGCUAGUUGGCGGGGUAAAGGCCCACCAAGGCGACGAUCCGUAGCUGGUCUGAGUGGAUGGUCAGCCACACUGGAACUGAGACAGGGUCCAGACUCCUACGGGAGGCAGCAGUGGGGAAUAUUAGACAAUGGGCGCAAGCAUGAUCCAGCCAUACCGCGUGGGUGAAGAAGGCCUUGGGGUUGUGAAGCCGUUUUGUUGGGAAAGAAAAGCAGCAGGUUAAUACCCCGCGGUUCUGACGGUACCCAAAGAAUAAGCACCGGCUAACUUCGUG